GAUGAACGCUGGCGGCGUGCCUAAUACAUGCAAGUCGAGCGGUGAGACGCGGAGCUUGCUGGUGGGUGUGUAUCGGCGGACAGCGGGGGAAUAACUCGAGAGCAUCCUUAUAACACUUGGUGGAUUACGGGAUGCCGGAGCUGCUAACACGUGAUAUAUUGGACCGGAUGGUUCAUUGGUCAGAGAAGGUUUUUGUUUCGGUUAUGGAUGGACUCGCGGCGAAUUAGCUAGUUGGUAGGGUAACGGCCUACCAAGGCGACGAUGCGUAGCCGACCUGAGAGGGUGGUCGGCCACAAUAGAGCUGAGACGCGGUCCAGAAUCCUACGGGAGGCAGCAGUAGGGAAUAUUCUGCCAUGAGCGAAGGCUUGCCGGAGCAACGCCGCGUGGGUGAUGAAGGUCUUCGGAUCGUAAAACUCUGUUAUUAGGGAAGAACAAGUGUGGACGCAACUAUGCGCGUCUUGACGGUACCUAGACAGAAAGCCACGGCUAACUACGUG
rnacentral:rRNA from 1 species